GCCCGUUUGGCGCAAUGGUAGCGCGUCGCCCUCCUAAUUCGGAGGCUCAGGCUCAGGCUGCGGGUUCGAUCCCCGUGAUGGGUG